AGCGCUGAAGCUCCAGCUUGCUGGGGUGGAUGAGUGGCGAACGGGUGGUAAUACGUGAGUAACCUGCCCUUGACUCUGGGAUAAGCCCGGGAAACUGGGUCUAAUACUGGAUGCUACAUGUCACCGCAUGGUGGUGUGUGGAAAGGGUUUUACUGGUCUUGGAUGGGCUCACGGCCUAUCAGCUUGUUGGUGAGGUAAUGGCUCACCAAGGCGACGACGGGUAGCCGGCCUGAGAGGGUGACCGGCCACACUGGGACUGAAACACGGCCCCAACUCCUACGGGAGGCAGCAGUGGGGAAUAUUGCACAAUGGGCGGAAGCCUGAUGCAACGACCCCCCGUGAGGGAUGACCGCCUUCGGGUUGUAAACCUCUUUCAGCAGGGAAGAAGCCACCAGUGACGGUACCUGCAAAAAAAGCGCCCGCUAACUACCUGCCAGCAGCCGCGGUAAUACCUAAGGCGCAAGCGUUGUCCGGAAUUAUUGGGCGUAAAGAGCUCGUAAGCGGUCUGUCGCGUCUGCUGUGAAAGCCCGGGGCUUAACCCCCGGUGUGCAGUGGGUACCGGCAGACUAGAGUGCAGUAAGGGAGACUGGAAUUCCUGGUGUAACGGUGGAAUGCGCAGAUAUCAAGAAGAACACCGAUGGCCAAGGCAGGUCUCUGGGCUGUUACUGACGCUGAAGAGCGAAAGCAUGGGGAGCGAACAGGAUUAGAUACCCUGGUAGUCCAUGCCGUAAACGUUGGGCACUAGGUGUGGGGGGAACAUUCCACGUCUUCCGCGCCGUAACUAACGCAUUAAGUGCCCCGCCUGGGGAGUACCGCCGCAAGGCUAAAACUCAAAAGGAAUUGACCGGGGGCCCGCACAAGCGGCGGAAACAUUGCGGAUUAAUUCGAAUGCAACGCCGAAAGAACCCUUACCAAAGGCUUGAACAUAUAAACGGAAUCGGUUUCAAGAAAAUGGG
rnacentral:rRNA from 1 species